AAAAAAAAUUGAUUAUUCAAUUUAAUUCUGUUAUUAAAGUCAAAAUAAUCGAACUGGCAGAUGUGCUUUGAUUGCAACGGCAAAAAUGGUUUAUGAUUAAAGGUUUUUGCAAUGCCAUUAAUAUUUUUUUCUUCUUCAUUUGUAGAUAUGUUUGUGAAUAAUGGUUUGGCGUUUAAUUAAAAAUUAUUUGAGUUUAGAAUUGCUAAUCUAUCGUCGCCCCUCCUUG
rnacentral:misc_RNA from 1 species